rnacentral:lncRNA from 1 species
UAUAACAACACACACAAUAUAUGAUUUUAUUUAUAUUUAUUAAUUAAUUUCGUACGUACAUUAAAGAUACAAUAAAACAGACAAAAGUUUAGAUAAUAAACUUUUAUCAAUUAAUCACAUAUCAAGCUAACAGUAGUAGUAAUUAAGACCCAAUAAUAUGACACAGGUAGGUCCAUUAUUAUUUAAAGGUGCAAGCUAAUUAUGUGAAAUUAAGUGCGCAAUAAUAAUUAUUAUAUAUAUUAGCUAGGUUUAGGUUGAGAUGGAAGCUGACAGCAGCGGCAGCAGCGAUCUCGAUCUCUCAUGGUGAAGCAUUAUCAAUCUGAGACUGAGAAGUGGUUGGAUUAUCACAAAAGCAAGGACAACAAGAGUAUGGGUCUGGCCGAGGUGCACAACACACACAAGCAGGACAUACGGGGGGACGUCUCUGAAGUAGCUCUGUACGUACAUGCAAAUCAACAACUAAUUCAUGCAUUAAUUAAUUAAAAACACGUACAAAUCAAAAAAUUAAUUAAUAUAUUGAUUAACUAAUUAAUGCAUUUAUAGUUAAUUUACGCACCUCGCUGAAGCAGUCGAGUUGCCUCACAUGAUAUUGGUAUUGCUGGGGAGAAAACUAUUGCGAGGAGGAAAAGUGCGAGCACAAUGGACCUAGGUGCCAAACUUGCCAUUGUUUGAUUGCUAUAACUAAAUAAAAUAUAUAUAUAUAUAUAUAUAUAUAUAUAUAUAUAUAUAUAUAUAUGUCUCUUAAUUAGUAUAUAUAUAUGUCUCUUAAUUAGUCUUGGCUAAUAAAAAUAUAUAUUAUGGUUUGGUUGAG